rnacentral:rRNA from 1 species
CGAACGCUGGCGGCAGGCCUAACACAUGCAAGUCGAACGAACUCUUCGGAGUUAGUGGCGGACGGGUGAGUAACACGUGGGAACGUGCCUUUAGGUUCGGAAUAACUCAGGGAAACUUGUGCUAAUACCGAAUGUGCCCUUCGGGGGAAAGAUUUAUCGCCUUUAGAGCGGCCCGCGUCUGAUUAGCUAGUUGGUAGUGUAAUGGACUACCAAGGCGACGAUCAGUAGCUGGUCUGAGAGGAUGAUCAGCCACAUUGGGACUGAGACACGGCCCAAACUCCUACGGGAGGCAGCAGUGGGGAAUCUUGCGCAAUGGGCGAAAGCCUGACGCAGCCAUGCCGCGUGAAUGAUGAAGGUCUUAGGAUUGUAAAAUUCUUUCACCGGGGACGAUAAUGACGGUACCCGGAGAAGAAGCCCCGGCUAACUUCGUGCCAGCAGCCGCGGUAAUACGAAGGGGGCUAGCGUUGCUCGGAAUUACUGGGCGUAAAGGGAGCGUAGGCGGACAUUUAAGUCAGGGGUGAAAUCCCGGGGCUCAACCUCGGAAUUGCCUUUGAUACUGGGUGUCUUGAGUAUGAGAGAGGUGUGUGGAACUCCGAGUGUAGAGGUGAAAUUCGUAGAUAUUCGGAAGAACACCAGUGGCGAAGGCGACACACUGGCUCAUUACUGACGCUGAGGCUCGAAAGCGUGGGGAGCAAACAGGAUUAGAUACCCUGGUAGUCCACGCCGUAAACGAUGAUUGCUAGUUGUCGGGAUGCAUG